GACGAACGCUGGCGGCGUGCUUAACACAUGCAAGUCGAACGGAAAGGCCCCCUUGUGGGGUACUCGAGUGGCGAACGGGUGAGUAACACGUGAGUAACCUACCCUUGACUUUGGGAUAACUUCAGGAAACUGGGGCUAAUACCGGAUAGGAGCUCCUGCUGCAUGGUGGGGGUUGGAAAGUUUCGGCGGUUGGGGAUGGACUCGCGGCUUAUCAGCUUGUUGGUGGGGUAGUGGCUCACCAAGGCUUUGACGGGUAGCCGGCCUGAGAGGGUGACCGGCCACAUUGGGACUGAGAUACGGCCCAGACUCCUACGGGAGGCAGCAGUGGGGAAUAUUGCACAAUGGGCGGAAGCCUGAUGCAGCAACGCCGCGUGCGGGAUGACGGCCUUCGGGUUGUAAACCGCUUUCGCCUGUGACGAAGCGUGAGUGACGGUAAUGGGUAAAGAAGCACCGGCUAACUACG
rnacentral:rRNA from 1 species